GUAUAUCUACGGUAAUACAUAUUCUAAAAUUUGAACGAUGAAGAGAAGACUUGCAUGAUACCUGCACAAGGAUGACAUGGAAAUACAUAGAUGUAUAUAUAUAUAU